rnacentral:rRNA from 1 species
UACGUAGGGUGCAAGCGUUAAUCGGAUUUACUGGGCGUAAAGCGCACGUAGGCGGAUUGUUAAGUGAGGGGUGAAAUCCCAGGGCUCAACCCUGGAACUGCCUUUCAUACUGGCAAUCUCGAGUCCGGAAGAGGUGAGUGGAACUCCUAGUGUAGAGGUGGAAUUCGUAGAUAUUAGGAAGAACACCAGUGGCGAAGGCGGCUCACUGGUCCGGUACUGACGCUGAGGUGCGAAAGCGUGGGGAGCAAACAGG